UCCCUCACUCUAACCCCUCACUCCCUCACUCCAACCCCUCACUCCCUCACUCCAACCCCUCACCUUCUCACUCCAACCCCUCACUUCCUCACUCCAACCCCUCACCUUCUCACUCCAACCCCUCACUCCCUCACUCUAACCCCUCACUCCCUCACUCCAACCCCUCACUCCCUCACUCCAACCCCUCACCUUCUCACUCCAAGCCCUCACCUCCUCAUCAAAAAAUGAUCACGUGAUUUAAAAUCAUGAUGCUUGUUGUGGUAGCCUGUUUGUGAACAUCCUGAUCAACUUGUGUGUGGAUGUAUCGGCCAGCUCUGCGGUCACGGUGUGUUUGCUGGACAUUUCAUCUUACAGGAGCAGGAAGACACAUCGCUGGAGCCUGAAAAGAAAGAAGUGUCAUGGCCGAAAAAGGACCAGCUCAUGUAAGAGAAACUGGGAGAAGCUCUCACUGGAAGUAGCCUAGUGGACACGGAGAGUGCAGCUUUCUUGCCUUGGUGUUUUGUGUUUUUGUUUUUUUUUUUGUUUUGGGAAUGGUAUUUUGUUUUUGUUUUGGACGCUGAAGAAACUACAUUGAAGUUUCUUUUUGUUCAAUGUAGGUUUUUUUUUGUGAAUAUUGAUGGUUGAGUUAGAUUAGAAGUUUUGUUUUCUGUUCAGUAAAUUGGUUAUGUUUUGUUUCUUUAUUUGAUUUGGCACGGUCUUGUUCUUUUCUCUUGUCCUCGUUCUUUUGUGAAUCAGAAUCAGAUUUAUUGGCCAAGUGUGUUGACACACACAAGGAAUUUGGUUCCAGCAGUUUGUGACUCUCAAAGGUACAGACAUAAAUAACACAAUACUAUACAAGAAAACAAUGCAGACAAUGAGAUGCAAUAUAGACAGAAUGAGUAUAAAAUAGGGUUAUAGAAUGAAUAAAAUAUGAAUAUGGAAUAUGAACGAUCAGUAAUGUACAUAAAGUGUGGGAGUGCAAAUAAGAAUAUUGUGCAAUAUGCGUUUUGUGCAAUAUAUAGCAGCAGUAGUGUGUGUAAUACAUACAGUAAUACAUACAU